rnacentral:lncRNA from 1 species
AUGGCGCUCGUCACGGGGGAGCGAGGCGUGCGGGCUGGGCCGCAGCGGGGCAAGACGGACGUGAAAGCAACUGACCCGGGAAAUCAGGAGGAACCAGUACGUUCGCGGAUUGGGCCGGCCGCCGCGACGCCUUCCUCCGAGAUGGAAGCCACCGAGGGGCCCGGACGACCCCGGAGAGCCCGUCCCACGAUGCGCACGGACUCCUCCGAAGGGCUCUUCCCUCUGGAGCAUCGCCCAGGGGCGACCCAGGAGCUCUGGGAAAGAAAGAAGACGUCACCGCCCGCCGAAGGGAGAACGGGGCGGGGGCUCGUGCCCUCUCCCCUUUCAGAAGGCUCGCCGACAACCCGGGGGACCCCGGGGGGUCGGGGGAAUGCCGACGGGACCCCGAGCCAGGGGAGACCGGAGAAGCCCGGCUCGGGCCCCACCUGGCGAGUCUGAGCCGGGGGCUCGUUCCGGGCGGGGAACGCGUCCGCUGAUUCUGUUCUCUUCUACUCUCCCUAGCGCUUAUUAAGCGCUCAGUAAAUACCACUGAGUGAGAGGGGAGGAGAAGGUGCUCACCGAGGGAAAUUCAAAUAUUAGGAGGGCGCUGAAGAGGUGAAGAGAGCUGUGAUCUGACCCGACCACCCCCACCCGAUCGAAGUUCUACCGAAGGACCGUCUCCUCCAAGAGGCCCUCCCGGAAUAAGCCCUGAGGCACAGAGAAGUGAAGUGACUUGCCCAAGAUCACACAGCAGAGCGGCAGAGCAAGGAGCCGGAGAGCCCUGCUGGGAUAGAAAAGGACCGGAGGGUGGGGUGAAGUCAAGCCUCUGUUACGAUUCUUGCUCCCCGCGGUUAUUGAGAACUCAAAACGGGCUGAACACCGUUCGAAACGCCGAGGUCGUUACGGGAGACUGUGAGCUUGUAGACUCUAGAUCGUAAUCUUGCCGUGAGCGGGGAAUGUGUCGGUCAUACUGUCAUGUGGUACUCGACCUAGCAAUCGGUCCAGUGCUCUGCGCACUGUCCGCGCUCAAUUAAAUACGCCUCAUUCAUUCAAUCGUAUUUAUUGAGCGCUGACUGUGCGCAGAGCCCUGGACUGAGCGCUUGGGAAGUACAGUCCAGCAACAAAUAGAGACAACCCCCGCCCACAUCGGGCUCACGGUCUAGGAGGGGGAGACGGACAGCAGCGGAAGUAGAGAGGCAUCGAUGGCAUCAUUAUAAAUAAAUCGGAUCAUAGAGAUACACACGCCAUUAAUAAGAAAUAAAUAGAAUUAGUAUAAAUACGUACACAGAUACCCGAGUGCCGUGGGGAGGGGGAGGGGGGGAGAGCGGCGGGGGGGA